rnacentral:rRNA from 1 species
GUGCGUGAACCGCUCAGAGGUAAACAGGUGGAGUUGAACUGUAAGCUCCGAGGAUUCAGCUAGUGAGUGUGUCGUGGGCUUGGCCAUUUUCGGCCGGCCUCUGGAGUCCGCUUAGCUGCGGGUCCUUGCUCUUUCGGGAGUAGGGAUGUGCGUUGCGCUUGUCAAGUGCUGUGCGCUCUGGAGGUUGCCGGGCUGGCUCGCUAGUGCACUUUCUCGGAGUGGUCACCACGACCGGCGUUGUUGCCUUACUGCUGUAGUCAAACCGGUUAGGUUUGGUCCUUGUGGCUGAAUUUGAUCGGGAUGGCAGGUAGCUCAUUGGUUGGCUUGCCAGCCUUUGGGUGUAAUAGCUGGCUGCAGUAGUUUUGUGCAAUACGUUGGGGACGGCGGCUUUAGGUAUGUGCUUAUGUGCCGUGAGCUGGCAGUGUCGAGUUUGACUGGCGUGUUUACCUGCUUCGGUGGGUCUGUCA